GCAGGGUGAGGAAGGAAGUUCAGAAAAAGAAAAAUGAUUGGAUGACCUCAAGAGGGAUGUCAGCCCUAAGCUGGCCUUUCCAGUGGCCACUGAAUAUGGUCAUGCUGUUGAGCUCAGAAUAGGCAAUGUCAAAUGAGGCCCAGAGAGGUGGAGUAACUUGCCCAAGGUCACACAGCUAGUAUAAUGUGGAGCUGAGAUUUAUUCGCAGUAUUCAGGCUCCUGAGUCUACAGUCUGAACCACUGAUUUGGGGACAGUGAAGACCACAGGAUCCUGUGAGUGGAGGGGAAGACUAACUGAGGGCAACUGCCACCUGGUGCCAGUAUGCCUUCCAGUACUCAGCCACCUUCUCGUGAAGCCUGGGAGGUGAUUCUGCCUCCUGUAGCUCUUUGCUGAGGGGCACUGAUACCUCCCGGACCUGGA